CGUCCUCUUCCUCCAAGCCUGGGGAAGGGACGUCCUGGCAGGUGGUCAGGGCGUUGCAGUUCGAGUCCAGGCCAGGAUCGGGUGAAGAAGAAGCUCCGGAGCAGGAAUCAGGAGAGCAGCAGAAGCUGUCCGGUGCAGACCUAGAAGACAGAGGUGGUGAAGCCCGGCCAGUGAGGACAAGAGCUGCGGGGAAGGACACCGAGGUGACUUGACGGCAGCAGCAGGCCUGAAGGCUCUGGCUGCUUUGGAAGAUAUUUCAAUGAGAUGCAAAUCGCAAUCGACUGACCAUUAGUUUCCACUGCAGUGUUUGCAGGUGGAGUCGAAUGUAACCCCCCGGGAAUGGAGCCGGGAGGGUCAGAGAACGCGGCUGCGCUCUGGAUCUCCGAAGGGGGGCGGGGGCCUGGAAGAGGUCCGGGCCCAGAAUGGACCUCCAGGUCCCUGCUGCCGCAAUCCGGCCCUACCCUCCAGCCUACCCCUUACUCCCAGAGGAAGGGACCCAGGGAGACCCACGCAGAUGCCCUGAAAGGAGGUGGAGGAUGGGGGUGGGGCAAUACGCAGAGUUUGUCUGGUGAAUGCAGGAAAGGGGUGGGGGCUGGAGAGGAAAAGGAUGGAGCAGCCGUCAGCUUGUCAACUCCGCAUCUGCUGGCUGCCUCGGCCGGGCUCCAGCCUGCGCCCUCGCCCCUCGGAACAGCGGUAUGUCCAUUCUCUCCGCAUUCGUCUCCAUCGUUCAGCCACCACCGCACCCUUUCUCUAUUCAUUUCUCCUGCUCCCUUGUCCUGCCCCGCCCCUCGUGCCCAGGUCCAUCGGUCUACACCCAUGGGCCGAGCCCUCCUCACCAGGGUCCUCCUGGAACCGCUCCGGCCUUGGGCUUGUCCGCGGCUCCCACGGUCCCCGCCCGGCGGGGCACAGAGCGGGAGGGGAGGGGCACUAGCACAACCUACCCUGCGCUGCGCAGCUGCACCCCUUCGCGCAUGGGCGUGGCGUAGCUCAGACCCGCCCCCAGCGUUUAGCGUCUUUUGUCACCCACCUAGCGGGUUUGAUAUAUCCUAAGCUUUUGGCCCCUGGGUCCUGCUUCCGUGCAGCGAGUCCUCCCAGCACCCCACCCUGCACAUUCUGGAAAGAGCUAUACUCUGGCUGGGCCGAGCAAGAACAGAACCACAAGAAGGUUACACGAUUAUUUAUUGAGAGCCUCCUCUC